GACGAACGCUGGCGGCGUGCUUAACACAUGCAAGUCGAACGGAGUUAAGGAGCUUGCUCCUUAACUUAGUGGCGAACGGGUGAGUAACGCGUGAGGAACCUGCCUCUCAGUGGGGGACAACAGUUGGAAACGACUGCUAAUACCGCAUAAUAUCAUCGGAUGGCAUCAUCUGGUGAUCAAAGAUUUAUUGCUGAGAGAUGGCCUCGCGUCUGAUUAGCUAGUUGGUGGGGUAAUGGCCCACCAAGGCGACGAUCAGUAGCCGGACUGAGAGGUUGACCGGCCACAUUGGGACUGAGAUACGGCCCAG
rnacentral:rRNA from 1 species